rnacentral:tRNA from 1 species
GCGGGUGUAGCUCAGCUGGCCAGAGCGCUCGCUUCCCAAGCGAGAGGUCGAGGGUUCGAAUCCCUUCACCCGCUCCU